AUUGAACGCUGGCGGAAUGCUUUACACAUGCAAGUCGAACGGCAGCACGGGGGCAACCCUGGUGGCGAGUGGCGAACGGGUGAGUAAUACAUCGGAACGUGCCCAGUCGCGGGGGAUAACGUAGCGAAAGUUACGCUAAUACCGCAUACGCUCUACGGAUGAAAGCGGGGGACCGUAAGGCCUCGCGCGAUUGGAGCGGCCGAUGUCAGAUUAGGUAGUUGGUGAGGUAAAGGCUCACCAAGCCGACGAUCUGUAGCUGGUCUGAGAGGACGACCAGCCACACUGGGACUGAGACACGGCCCAGACUCCUACGGGAGGCAGCAGUGGGGAAUUUUGGACAAUGGGCGCAAGCCUGAUCCAGCCAUUCCGCGUGCAGGACGAAGGCCUUCGGGUUGUAAACUGCUUUUGUACGGAACGAAAAGGCUCUGGUUAAUACCUGGGGCUCAUGACGGUACCGUAAGAAUAAGCACCGGCUAACUACGUGCCAGCAGCCGCGGUAA
rnacentral:rRNA from 1 species